rnacentral:rRNA from 1 species
UACGUAGGCAGCGAGCGUUGUUCGGAGUUACUGGGCGUAAAGAGUGCGUAGGCGGUGCUCUAAGUUUGGUGUGAAAUCUCCCGGCUCAACUGGGAGGGUGCGCCGAAAACUGGAGUGCUCGAGUGUGGGAGAGGUAAGCGGAAUUCCUGGUGUAGCGGUGAAAUGCGUAGAUAUCAGGAGGAACACCUGCGGUGUAGACGGCUUACUGGACCAUGACUGACGCUGAGGCACGAAAGCGUGGGGAGCAAACAGG